UUCAGUAAUGAGACACUGAAAUAACACAAGUUACAUGGAUGUAAUUCCAAUUCUACAAAUCAAAGUGUGUAGCUCACCAUCACUCUUUAUCACAAAGUAAAUGACAGUUACUAUUCCUUUAAAGACUUAAUAUGGUGAGAAUUCUAGUUUAUUAUAUUACAAUGUUAUUAUACAUUGAUUUACAGCAUCAGGACUACUAAGGGGAUUAUUGAUGUCUCAUACACCAAACUGGGUGCAAUAGUCCUGCUGGAUCUCAGCUUCACUAUCUAACAGACCCCUGAGAUCUCUUUGCAAUGGUUUGUGAAAGUGUUACAGAGAGGUACAGUGAAACAUCAAAACCUUUUUUGUAGUGGAAUUCUUUUUAUUCCAUAAAAUGUGGAUGAUUUAUGAUAUCUUUGUUCAGUGCUAAAACUGAACCCCAUUUCUGUAUUUAUAGUUCAAUCCUUCAAGUUUAACCAUUGACAGACCUUAUCAUUUCCAGAGUCUGAGUUUCACACGUCUUCAAGUCAUCAGCUAACAGAGGCAGUGCAGGAACACAUCUGCGUCCUCACAGGGAGGUGAGUGUCUCAAGUUUCCAUCCAAAUUUCAAACAGCAAUUGAUUAAAACGUUCAUCACAAGAAUGCUCAUUGACACUCCUUUUUUAUACUGUGAUACUUUUUGUUUAGUCAAAUGGAAGACAAAUAGUGUAAUUGUUUAAGACAGCAUUAAAAACAAAACUGCAAAGUAUUUCAAGAAACCUCACAGUAGAGCUACUUAAGUGAUAAGUAACAUUCAAGGGUUUUAUUAAAAGCUGUUAUAUUUUUCAGUUUUCACAAAUCACUGGGGAAUAGCCAUAUUCAGUUUUUUUCUUAUUGUCAACAAAUCCCUCAAAAAGACUAUAACCAACAAUGAAUUGAUCCUACUAACAAGUAUUGUCUGUGUAGCUAAACCUGAUGUAGAUUAUUCCUCUGUGCCAUCUGGUAGAGCUCCACUGUUGUCCAAAACUAUUGAAAACACAUAAAUUAACCACACUGUUAACACUGGGUGACCAUGAACAAGGGCACUGUAGUUUAUUUUGAAUCAAUCCCAUGUACAUUGUACUACUGCCGUAAACACUUGCAUGUAUUAAUCUGUAGUUGAAAAUAGUCCCCACACUAUUUACUUGUGUUUGAAUAGCCUUUGCUAAAAAAUACAUUUCCCAGCAGUCGCAUUCUUUAAAGACAAUACUAUAUAUUUGUUACUUGGUUUUUAAAGUCUUCAGUAGUUAAAAUGACUUGGAGCUGAGUGCCACAGACAGGUUAAGAAAGUUGGAAAAUAUUUAAAGGCGAACUAACACUUUUUUUGGUUUUGGUCUUUUCAUGGGAUUUGUCGGAAGUCCUAGUCUGCAAGAUUUACAGGUAUUACAACCAACGGUACACUAUGCCACAUAAAAGUAUGGAUAGAGUUUUUCUGUAAAGGUGUAGCCGAUGAAUGAGUAGAUGUGAGACUUGCCCUCUGUAUCAUAAAAGGAGACCUGGCCUCCUAAUCCACAAACACCCCAACCUUCUUCAGCUUCCGUGGGUAGAGACAGACAGAGGGAGCAGUGUUGGCUUUAUAACCAUCUCCCAGCUCUAUCGUCCAGUAUCCAUGUUCAUUUAAUACUGGAAACCCUUUCUUCCUGUUAGCAGACUUUCGACUCCCAUGAGGCCCCUCUGGUCGGGGAAAUUUCUUUGUUUAACUUGUCUUCAAAGUCAGAAAGUUCUCGUCUCACAGUCUCUUCAAGUUCAGAGUUCUCUUCAACCCUGGUGCUCCGCAAAGAUAUCCUGACGUUCUGCUUGUACUGGCUACUCUGGAUGCUGAACUCUUGCUGAUCAUUCAUGUGUGGAAGGCUGGAGAGAGAUGACGAUCUCAGGAGGAUAUGGAUAUGAUCGUUGGUUUGUGAGAGCUGCUCCAGCUCUGUGCAUUUUUGCUGUAGUGCACAAACGUCUUGCUCAAGAGCUUUAAUAAAGUCUUGGCUCUCCUCUCGAUUGCCCUCUGCUUCUUCUUAAUCACCCAAAUGAGCUCUGAUUGGCUCCUUUCAAUCAAGGCAACAAGAGCGGUGAACACCUGCACACUGUCCGAUAUGUUCUAUAGGUGUCCCUUUUGCUGAGCCCCACCAGGUAGUUGGCCUCCAAGACCUUCUGGAUCAUCUUCUCCUGGAUCAUCUGUCAUACUCGGAGCUCCGUCUGUCCGAGCAGAGUCUUUAUCUCGUCACACUUUACCUCCAGUGGUACAGUCUUGUGAGUCUCAUGGUCUUCGCUGAUGCACAGGUGGCAAACACACUCUUUAUCUGUCCUGCAGAACACGUCCAGAAGAACAUUGUGCUUCUUGUAUAUCCUGUUGUCUAGUUUGACCUCGGGAUCGAGCAGAGUGUGUCUCUUCAGUCCUGCGACUCUGGUUAGGCUCUGGGUGAAUUUCACAAAAAUAUGUCAGACACUCAAGGCAAAAAUUUGCAAGCCAUGCUUGGCAGCAGAUUGAUCAAUGCUUCUUUCUCGCAUCCCUUUAAACUGGCAGUGGUUACUGUUGUCCCAGUAUCCCGUGAUACAAGCCUUGCAGAAGUUGUGGCCACAGGCAAUGGCCAUGGGCUCAGUGAAGACCUCCAGGCAGAUUGAGCACUGAAACUGUUGUUCACACAACAGACUGCUGCAGAAAGCUAUGCCUGCAACAUUACGUAAACCACAACAUUACUUCCUGGAAAAUACAUCAGCUUUUAUUUUUCAUCUCUCAGACCAAUAUGUGAACUUGUGUUUUAUUUCCCCUAAUACCCUAACACAUUGAAUAAGCCAGAUUAAUUUAGAGCAACUCUACUUUGUCUACUCCAACUCCAGACUCUGAGUUAAAGGUGCACACACAGUUAUCUAUCGUCAUACUGCAGGCCCACAUACAGUAUUUACCAGUUCACACAUGUCUUACAUCUACUCACAGGAGGGUGUGAAUACAGCCCAUACACGUGUUCUGCAAUUACAAAAUGACGCAGCAAUUAUCCCUGUUCAGACAUCAUUGUGUGUCUUUAGUUCAUCAUCUUAACUCUGAACAUCUUGCUCUUCCCUUUAUGACAGUCCUGCCACCCCUUACGCUGCUAUGCUGUAGAUCCAGUUUUUGACAGAUGUGUUUUAACCUUUUGAAUGACUGGCUCAUAACAAAUAUAAUGCGGUCACAUGGCACAGAUGGUAAGCCAAUGGCACGGCCUCAAUCAGACCAGAAUUUGUGUGUUUGUGUCAGCAUCCCCUUCAUGCUCCUGAAGCGGCUGACUCGAGUGUAGAGCGAGGGAGAGGAGGGGUCAGCGCAGCCGUAACCCCCGGCGACGACUCCAGUGAGGACCCAUCGACCCAUCUCCCCCUGACACACCAGCCCGCCUCCAGAGUUGCCCUGACAACUGUCGCCAUGGAGGAGGCUGGUGUCUGGAGGACUGCCGGCGCACAGGGUGCCAUGGCUGGAGAAGCUGUCGCCAUAGCGCUUCUUACAUUGCCAUGACGACAUCAGAGGGACCCAGGAUGCAAGAACUGAGUCUAGGAGAGGGGAUGGAUGAGAUGAUUAAAGGAGUUGCAUGUCAGAAAUGCUGAAACAAUUAGUUGAUUAACUGACAAGUCAAUCGACAUUAACAAUCAACAAUUUAUCUAAAGGGAUCUAAAACAUAUUUUUAGAUACCUUCUGAAUGUUGUUUGACGUUUAAAAAGACACAUAUAGUACACUAGAGAGAAAAACACAUACCUGGUCCUGUCCAACCAGCGGUAACCAUGACAACACAAGAAGAUGGCAUAUUUCCCCCUGAUGCUGUGUCCGCAGCAGGAAGGCAUGCUGCAUUGGUGUUGGGGUCAAAGGUCAGACAGUGACCCUUGGUGCUGGGUAGCUUCAGCAAAGCCAGAUCGUGACCUCCA